rnacentral:rRNA from 1 species
UACAGAGGUGGCAAGCGUUGUUCGGAUUUACUGGGCGUAAAGGGUGCGUAGGUGGUCUUGUGUGUCGGGCGUGAAAGCCCACUGCUCAACGGUGGAAUGCCGUCCGAAACUAUAAGACUAGAGUACAGGAGAGGAGAGCGGAAUUCUUGGUGUAGCGGUGGAAUGCGUUGAUAUCAAGAAGAACACCAGUGGCGUAGGCGGCUCUCUGGAAUGUUACUGACACUGAGGCACGAAAGUUGGGGGAGCAAAC